rnacentral:rRNA from 1 species
AGCGAACGCUGGCGGCAGGCUUAACACAUGCAAGUCGAGCGGACCUUUCGGGGUCAGCGGCGGACGGGUGAGUAACGCGUGGGAACGUGCCUUCCGGUUCGGAAUAACCCUGGGAAACUAGGGCUAAUACCGGGUACGCCCUUAUGGGGAAAGGUUUACUGCCGGAAGAUCGGCCCGCGUCUGAUUAGCUAGUUGGUGGGGUAACGGCCUACCAAGGCGACGAUCAGUAGCUGGUCUGAGAGGAUGAUCAGCCACACUGGGACUGAGACACGGCCCAGACUCCUACGGGAGGCAGCAGUGGGGAAUAUUGGACAAUGGGCGCAAGCCUGAUCCAGCCAUGCCGCGUGAGUGAUGAAGGCCUUAGGGUUGUAAAGCUCUUUUAUCCGGGACGAUAAUGACGGUACCGGAGGAAUAAGCCCCGGCUAACUUCGUGCCAGCAGCCGCGGUAAUACGAAGGGGGCUAGCGUUGCUCGGAAUCACUGGGCGUAAAGGGCGCGUAGGCGGCGUUUUAAGUCGGGGGUGAAAGCCUGUGGCUCAACCACAGAAUGGCCUUCGAUACUGGGACGCUUGAGUAUGGUAGAGGUUGGUGGAACUGCGAGUGUAGAGGUGAAAUUCGUAGAUAUUCGCAAGAACACCGGUGGCGAAGGCGGCCAACUGGACCAUUACUGACGCUGAGGCGCGAAAGCGUGGGGAGCAAACAGG